rnacentral:rRNA from 1 species
UACAGAGGUCUCAAGCGUUGUUCGGAUUCAUUGGGCGUAAAGGGUGCGUAGGCGGCGCGGUAAGUCGGGUGUGAAAUCUCGGGGCUUAACUCCGAAACUGCAUUCGAUACUACCGUGCUUGAGGACUGGAGAGGAGACUGGAAUUUACGGUGUAGCGGUGAAAUGCGUAGAUAUCGUAAGGAAGACCAGUGGCGAAGGCGGGUCUCUGGACAGUUACUGACGCUGAGGCACGAAGGCCAGGGGAGCAAACGGG